UACGUAGGGCGCAAGCGUUGUCCGGAAUUACUGGGCGUAAAGCGCACGUAGGCGGAUCGUUAAGUCAGGGGUGAAAUCCUGGAGCUCAACUCCAGAACUGCCUUUGAUACUGGCGAUCUUGAGUCCGGAAGAGGUGAGUGGAACUCCUAGUGUAGAGGUGGAAUUCGUAGAUAUUCGGAAGAACACCAGUGGCGAAGGCGGCUCACUGGACUGGUAUUGACGCUGAGGUGCGAAAGCGUGGGGAGCAAACAGGG
rnacentral:rRNA from 1 species